CUACGGGAGGCAGCAGUGAGGAAUAUUGGUCAAUGGUCGGAAGACUGAACCAGCCAUGCCGCGAGCAGGAAGACGGUCCUAUGGAUUGUAAACUGCUUUUGUACGGGAAGAAACACUCCUUCGUGAAGGAGCUUGACGGUACCGUAAGAAUAAGGAUCGGCUAACUCCGUGCCAGUAGCCGCGGUAA
rnacentral:rRNA from 1 species